rnacentral:rRNA from 1 species
UACGGAGGGGGCUAGCGUUGUUCGGAAUUACUGGGCGUAAAGGGCGCGCAGGCGGCUGCUCAAGUCAGGCGUGAAAGGCCUGGGCUCAACCUGGGAAUUGCAUUCGAGACUGCAUUGCUGGAGUACGGAAGAGGAAGGCGGAAUUCCCGGUGUAGCGGUGAAAUGCGUAGAUAUCGGGAGGAACAUCAGUGGCGAAGGCGGCCUUCUGGUCCAGUACUGACACUCAAGUGCGAAAGCGUGGGGAGCAAACAGG